GGUGAUAGAUUCAUCUAAAAGCUAAAUAUAUUAGGAAAACCGAUAGCAAAGAAGUACUGUGAAGGAAAAGGUGAAAAGAACUUUGAAAAAGAGAGUUAAAAGUGCCUUGAAAUUGUUAAAAGGGAAGCGAAUGAAAAGAAUUACUGCGAUUAAGGUCCUCAGUAUUUCUGAAGGGGGAAUUUAAUGAAAAGGCUUAGUCGACUUGACCUGUCUGAUUUGAAAACCUUGGACGAUUUAUUUAUAGAUCUUGCAGAUUAAUGUAAAAUAAGGAAAUUAAAAAAAGGCUGAAAAGAGAUAUGUAGUGGGGCUUGUCUCAUUGCAAUAAAUAUUUUGACGUAAUUAAAGGGACUUAUUUUUGAAUAGAAAUUACUCAGAAAAUGUUGAAUUAAAAAUAAAGGUUGAUGAAAGUUAGUUAUCUUGUUAAACAAGUAAUUAAUUUUUUAAUGCUAGAGUUUAAAAGGAG
rnacentral:rRNA from 1 species